CCACCGAGGCGGCAUUCGUAACAAGGUUUCCGUAGGUGAACCAGCGGAGGGGACAUU
rnacentral:rRNA from 1 species